rnacentral:misc_RNA from 1 species
GUGCGACAGCACGGACCUUUUACCAAGUAGGAAUCAGUUCAGCUAUUGAGGAAGGGUAGAGAUUGAUGGUACCUUCAAACGUAAACACUUGAAUGUCAAACAGCGGCAAUUAUGAAACACUAGGACUUUUAUCUGUGACACUUCAGCAUUCCCGCGGAAGUCCGUUAUAUAUGCGUCUGUUUCAAAAUGAACACAGUGGAGCAAUUUGCCUUGUACUGUACGAUGAUCUGCGCUUUUGCCGCCCCAACUGUCAGCAAGGAAGAAGUCUGCCACCAGCACCACAUGGGAGGUCAAGAUACUGUGCCUAUAUAUAUCCGAUGGUUGGUUUUCAGCUGUGUAGCGCGGGCGAGAAAAAGAAAGGAACAUGCCAGCAGCAUUGGCGACUAACUUGUUCUGCCCCGACUGUUCCUUUUUGCAAGUCUCAUCAGUUACGUUGCAUCUGUCGUUGUGCAAGGGUAACCACUUUGUAGAAGAUUUACUCUACUCAAAAUUGUCAGAACAGGCUGGUGGCACGAGGGUAUAUAUGCAUCGUCAGUGAUAAUAAGAACCACUGGAGGAAUACAACAUAGAUUCUAAUCAUGGAACACUCGCGGAAGGCAACACCGCCGAAAUAAUUUAGGAGCAGCAAAGCAAAAAUAAAUUGAG